AACGUAGGGGGCCAGCGUUGCUCGGAAUUACUGGGCGUAAAGGGUCUGUAGGCGGUGCGGCAAGUCGGAAGUGAAAUCGCAGGGCUUAACUCUGCGGCUGCUUCCGAAACUGCCGUGCUCGAGUGUGAGAUAGGCGAGUGGAAUUGCAGGUGUAGCGGUGAAAUGCGCAGAUAUCAGGAGGAACACCGGUGGCGAAGGCGGGUCUCUGGGCCGAUAUUGACGCUGAGGAGCGAAAGCGUGGGGAGCAAGCAGG
rnacentral:rRNA from 1 species